GACAACAAUAGGACUAUCGGUGGAAUGGUUAAAGCUUCAUGUCUCCUUCCCCCAUGUCUUAGGUUCAAUCCCUUACUUCCACUUUUCCUCACCAUUUUUCCAAUUUUUCCAAAUUUUUCCAUUUUUUCACCCUUAUUUUUCAUGUUCUUUCCCAUUUUUCACCAUAAAAUUUUUGUCUUCUUUCUGAUUUUCUUUUGCCUACUUCUUAUUUGUGACAUUGUAUUUGCAAUUUAAUUUUUGUUUUGUUUUUUCCAUUUAUUUUCCCUCGAUUACGGACGUUGCAAAAGUGCUCCGUGAACGUUUGAAAAAUGCGAUACUUCUUAGAUUUUUGUUUGAUUUCUU
rnacentral:lncRNA from 1 species